GAUGAACGCUAGCGAUAGGCCUAACACAUGCAAGUCGAGGGGAAGCACAAGGUAGCUUGCUAUCUGGGUGGCGACCGGCGCACGGGUGCGUAACGCGUAUGCAACUUGCUCUAUACAGGAGGAUAACCCGUCGAACGACGGACUAAUACUGCGUAUGCUAGCAACUUGGCAUCCAGCGGACAGGAAGGUAAUUCGGUAUAGGAUAGGCAUGCGUCCCAUUAGCUGGUUGGUGAGGUAACGGCUCACCAAGGCAACGAUGGGUAGGGGAACUGAUAGGUUAAUCCCCUAGAACUGAAACGAGACACAGACCAGACUGCUACGGGAGGCAGCAGUGAGGAAUAUUGGUCAAUGGGCGCGAGCCUGAACCAGCCAAGUCGCGUGAAGGAUGACUGUCUUAUGGAAUGUAAACUUCUUUUAUACGGGAAUAACAAGAGUAACGUGUGACUCCCUGCAGGUACCGAAUGAAUAAGCAUCGGCUAACUCCGUG
rnacentral:rRNA from 1 species